rnacentral:rRNA from 1 species
CCUACGGGGGGCAGCAGUGGGGAAUAUUGCGCAAUGGGCGAAAGCCUGACGCAGCGACGCAGCGUGAGGGAUGAAGGUCUUCGGAUCGUAAACCUCUGUCAGCAGGGAAGAACGGUCACUGUGCUAAUCAGCAGUGAAUUGACGGUACCUGCAAAGGAAGCACCGGCUAACUCCGUGCCAGCAGCCGCGGUAAUACGGAGGGUGCGAGCGUUAAUCGGAAUUACUGGGCGUAAAGCGCUCGUAGGCGGGAUGUCAAGUCAAGGGUGAAAUCCCCGCGCUCAACGUGGGAACUGCCUUUGAAACUGGCAAACGUGAGUAUGGGAGAGGAUAGUGGAAUGCCAGGUGUAGGGGUGAAAUCCGUAGAUAUCUGGAGGAACAUCAGUGGCGAAGGCGACUAUCUGGCACAUAACUGACGCUGAGGAGCGAAAGCGUGGGUAGCAAACAGGAUUAGAUACCCGAGUAGUC